rnacentral:rRNA from 1 species
AUACGUAGGGGGCAAGCGUUAUCCGGAUUUACUGGGUGUAAAGGGAGCGUAGACGGAAGGCCAAGUCUGAUGUGAAAGCCCGCGGCUCAACUGCGGGACUGCAUUGGAAACUGGUCAUCUGGAGUGCAGUAGAGGCAAGCGGAAUUCCCGGUGUAGCGGUGAAAUGCGCAGAGAUCGGGAGGAACACCAGUGGCGAAGGCGGCUUGCUGGGCUGUUACUGACGCUGAGGCACGAAAGCAUGGGUAGCAAACAGGAUUAGAUACCCUGGUAGUCCAUGCUGUAAACGAUGAUCACUAGGUGUGGGUGGACUGACCCCAUCCGUGCCGGAGUUAACACAUUAAGUAAUCCACCUGGGGAGUACGGCCGCAAGGUUGAAACUCAAAUGAAUUGACGGGG